rnacentral:rRNA from 1 species
GACGUAUUGCGCGAGCGUUGUCCGGAUUUAUUGGGCGUAAAGCGCGUGUAGGCGGCCAGAUAGGUCUGCUGUGAAAACUCGAGGCUCAACCUCGAGCUGUCGGCGGAAACCAUCUGGCUAGAGUCCGGAAGAGGAGAGUGGAAUUCCUGGUGUAGCGGUGAAAUGCGCAGAUAUCAGGAAGAACACCUAUGGCGAAGGCAGCUCUCUGGGACGGUACUGACGCUGAGACGCGAAAGCGUGGGGAGCGAACAGG